CCAACGAGCCGCUCUCAGCAAAAUCCUCCUCGGCUCGCUUCUUCACUUUUAUCCCGCCCCUCUGAUACUGCGCAAUCUCCCAAGGGUCGGCGGCUUUACUAAUGCGGCGUUCGUUCUUUUGGAAAAUGGUUCCACGGACAGUACCAGCCGUGGCGUUUAACUUCGCUUCUCCACUACUUAAAAGAUCUGCCGUUAGUGCCUCCCUCCCUUACGGAGAAUAUUUUCCAUUUAAACUCAGUCCCAGAAGAGAAGACGCUUUAGCCUGCUCGGAGGAAGACUAUACCACCCCGCUCUUGAGGAGGGGGGGGAUUUACUUCCUACUUUCUUCAUAAGCCCUCUUUGACAUUGUAUGUACGGUAGUAAAUGCGGGGUGCGAAUCUGUUCGUUUCUAAUGAAACGAUAAGCUUUAUGAAGUUUAUUUCGGCAAGGCGUUUUCGAUUCCUCUCCUCUCCAAACGAUUACCCUCUUCUUUCUAAAUAAGUAAUAAAGUUUAACAAGUUACUUUGUCUGUAGGGCUCCUGUGCCUCUAACAGGCAUGACAAUAAGUAAAAGAUCCUGAAAAAAAUCUUCAUUGGCUUCCGGCUUUUUGCGGAGUUUUCUAAGAUAAAGUACAGGACGGACUGGCUAGACACAUGCACCUGAGAAGGUGGAAUAUAACGUCUAACAUGCAUCAUUUAGUUUUUUCAGACCACAAGAUGCAUUUAAAAUAGCAUUUCAUCCAUUUAUUCUGAAUGUAGACAGUUUUUGCCCCCAGAAGGCUCUAUUUUCACUGAUUUCCAUGGUCUAUAAAACGUAUUUGAUAGGGUCCGUAUCUGGUCAGCACAAAUCUGCACAAUUCCAGUGGACAAAUCCGGACAUCCGUUAGGACAACUCCAGUGGGCCUAUCAUAUGCACAGGAAGAUUGUAGAUCUGAUGAGGAUUUUUCAUCAGAAGGUUGAUGAUUUUUCUUCUUAUGAUGAUCUAUGCCAUCCACAGGGGCAGGUCAUCUCCGUAUUCUGACUGUGAUUUUCGAAACCUUCUAGAUGGUGGUCUGCGUUUUAUUGAUCCUCGCGUCCUUACCUGAAAGUGGAUAAAGCUGUGAUUGAAAUAAGAACAUGACCUAGACCAGACAUCACUAAAAACAACCAACAGAACUGCAUUCAUUCCUUGACUAUUAAUUAUUCUUCAUAAGAUUAAUUUUUUGAAUUAUCAUUUCUUUCACAUCGAAGAACAUAUGAUUGUUCCUUAACAAAAGUAUUCCAAUGUUUUUUCAGUGCCAACUAGCAUUUUACAAGUACUUUGGCCAAUGUGGUUUUUGUUGUAAGAAAUUACAUCAUCUGAAAAUAGCCCCAAGCAAAGCUGGAAAGCUAGCAAUAGGAGCUAGGAAGCAAGGUGAACAAAAGAAGAAAGAAAAAACUGUCGGUGUUGCAAGCAUAUACUGAUUCAUGUAAUGAUAGCAAGUUAAAGGAAAUGGUACAUUUAAAGAAAUUUCAGUCUCACAAUCAUAUGUACAUUAAGCUAUAUGGGAAUUCCACAUAUUCAAAUCUAAGGAAUGUUGUUCUAUCUGGCUGUCAUUUGCCUAACAAUUAAAAAAAAUGAUAUUCUAACAUUUCCUCUUCUUAAAAAGGUUCCCAGGGCAGAAUUCAGGAAGCCACUUUAUACUAGGAAAAUCAUGUGCACUUCAAGAAUACUUUUUUAAAAGAUCAAAACUAUGCAAUGUAUUUAUUACUAUUAUAAAAUUCAACAAAUUAAAUUAAUAUUCCAGUCAAAUGAA